UAAAAAUUUGUUUUGAAAUUUAAAAGUAAUCGUUAUUAAUUAAUAAAAAUAUAUUAAAAUGUAAAAUUUAUUUUUGAAUUAUUAUUUUUAAAACAUGCAUGUUUAGAAAACAGAGAAAAUAUAAUUUCGAACAUGUUGUAGGUUUCAUUUUGUUUAGGGGGUCAAGAUGCCCACGAGCAUUAGCUUUUCCAAUUUUAAUUUUUUUCGGUCUACAUGUUAAAAAAGUUUUUCAAUUUGGGUGAAUAGAACCACAUAAGUCGACUGAAAAAUUGAUUUUAUAGAUAGACCAUCUCAAAUUUCCUCUCUCUAGAUAUUUCCUCCGUCUUCUCUCUAGACUCUGCCGAUCUGAUUUGUGUUUCCGGUCGACGGUCUCGGCUCUCCUAGCCACCGUCGGUCGGGUUUCUUGUUUCUUUCUCGUUUUAGCUUUCCUGUAGUUUUGAUCAAGUUUUAAGUUCAUCCGAUUGUAAUUCUAGAUCUAGAUCUGCAGUUUUGGGGUUUUGUGCUUAGAUAACCGAUGGUGAUAUCUUCGUUGGCGUUCAUCUGCCUCUCGGUUCUAUCGGGCGAAGAAUGAUGUGCUUAUCCUUGUUUCUCUUGCAACGGGUCAUCUCUGGAAUAGUGUUCACUUUCCUAUUGCAGAGUAAGAAUCUCCGGCUCGUCAAUAAGGAUUUGGAGCCUUGGCUCUUCGCACCUAGCAUGGAGGUUUGAUUGUCAAAAAGCUGGGUCUUCAUCAUCCUCCGGGGUUCGUGUUCUGUUUUCUCGGGGCUCGUCUAGUGGAAGAGACGGAGCAAGUUAAUGAGAAGCAGGUUAUCCCCUAAUAAUGGUUGCUCUCUGGUGUACGCUUAACUCUUUGUUCCUCAUCCGGUGGACCCGUUUACUUGGGUGUUUUGUUUGUUUGAUCUAGUUUCUAUGAUUGGAUUUUCUUUUAGCUUUUGUUAAUUAUGUUCUGCUUUAGUUUCCGGAGAUGAUGUUCUAAUCUGCCGGCUUUUGUUUCCAGAGUAUGAUCUUGUGUACUGCUGGCUUUAGUUUCUAGGAGUUUGAUUACUCGCUAGCUUAGUGUUCUAUCUUGUGUAAUACCUUGAAUCUCAUCAAUGGAAUGUUUCAGAGGAAAAAAAAAAAAGAACCACAUAAGUCA